rnacentral:rRNA from 1 species
UCUCGGCAAAUUAUCCUCAUAAGUUCGACAAGAAGAGGAACCAUGAAUUUAGUAAGUUAAUAACUCCUAUUAAUUUCUUUAUAUGGUGGCACAAAAUCGGAAGCCCCGACUGUUUACUAAAAACACAACUAUCUGCAAUUAUGAAAAUAAUAGUAUAGGUAGUGAGAUUUGCCCAAUGCCAUAUUAAUAAGUAAUAAUAAUGGGUAACUGUUUCUUUACAAAAAAUUGGUUAAUAGCGGUCUUAACUAUGAGGAUCCUAAAGUAGCAAAAUAAAUUGGCCAUUAAAUGUGGUCCGGUAUCAAUAAUUUAACGAUGGCUUCACUGUCUCUACAACUUGCUCAGUGAAAUUGAAUUACCCGUGCAGAUGCGGGUUACCUCAAAGAGGACGGGAAGACCCUAUGCAGCUUCUACUGA